AUAUGAAGAAUUUUAAACGAUUCAACUGAUUUCCUAUAAACAUUCGAUUCUAACCUUAUCUUUGAUCAAUUACACUAAACUCAUUUCACACUUUUACACUUUUACUUCCACUAAAAACUAAAUCAUUUUCUUAAAAUAUAUCAAUUUUUAAAUAGUUUAAACGGAAACAAUCACUGGUUCAAUCAACCACAUUCCGUUUUGUCCGACAAUUGACGAAGUAAAGAAUGCGCGUGCCUAUAUAUAAACUUACACGAAACGAUUGCCGAAAGCUCUGGCGGUAAAUAUCGCUGCGAGUUCUAGAUGGGUCUAUUCGCGAAAGGGAUCAGAAAACAGUCGGUAGAGAGCGCCGCCGCGUGCUCGAGGACAAACGAGCAGUGGGGGGUACGCGUGGGCUGCAUGGUGUCGACGAAGGCAUCGGAAGCGCGAUUUAUCGCGCGCACACUCCGCGAAGAAAGAGUCGUCCCGCUGGUGGUCGUUAAUUCUUGUCGCACGUGUCCCACCGCUUUGAUCACGCGAGUAUGCUAAUUGCACCGUCCACCGCCCACUCGCUGCCAGUGCAUGGAAAAUCGUCGAGAGUUGACAGCGACCAAAAGUAAGAGGAAGAUGAAGGAAGAGAAGAAGGAUCAUGAUGAUGGAAGAGGGAAGGAAUAGCAGAAAGAAGACCAAGAGAAGAAAGAAGAAAAAGUGGAAGAAAGAGAAGAAACUUAACUUGAGUCGAGUGGGAUGGAUUUUGCCAUUCUCCAUUGGCGUGUACGUUCUGUUGGCACAUGCGCAAGUACCGAUUCCAAACAUCGAAAGACAUGCUAGGAAUAUAGGAUAAUCAGCUUAACAUUUUGUUGCGACGCAUUUUGUUUUUGAUACAUAAAUUAAAUGAAAGAAAAGUAAAAUAGAUACAUUGAAUUGAUGGUUUGAUGACUUGUUGAAAUAUGAAGAUUAGUUUUUAUGAUUAGAAAUGAAAAUGAAAAAUAGAAUUUAAAUUUAAUAAGUUAAUUAUAAUAAUGAUAAAUUGUAGUAAAUGUUAAACUCAUAUCUGGAAAUAUAAUUGUAAGUACAAAAAGAACUAUAAAAAGAAAUCAUAAAUCUUCAAUUCAUAGAAAUGCGAUUGAAUUAUCUAAAAUCAGAAAUUAUUAUGAGAAAAUACAACAUACAAUACUAUGAUUAUUAACACUCGAUUUAAAUUAUUUUCAAAUAACUCAAUUUUUAAAGAAAAUUUAAUUAGAAACAUUCAUAAAGAAGAAUAUAUCUCAUCGACAAAAAUGAUGUAAGUAAUAUCCGUUUUGAUAUUAAAUUUUUGUUUCAUAGUCACAUUUUUCCAGCCAUUACAGUUUCCGUGAAAAUAUAACUUAAUGGACCAAAACGAAUUUCUAUGGAGAAGAAAGUAUGUCUGUGGUUUUCCAGGGGUAAAAAGGACGGUGCACGCGCCGCUUGCAGAAACGUUUCGUAAAUUCGAAGAAUGGCUGGAAAGAAGUGGCCGCCACACAAAGCGUGCCGACACAACCGGGCUCGUUUGCCCCGCGGAGGUAAUUGUCUUCUUGGCCGCACGAGAGCGCACGUAUUCCGCAAGCAAAUACACACCAAGAGGCUGGCUUACAUACAGCGUUCUCACGGGAUGGAGAAUAAACACCAUGGUCCGGUCUGUUACCGACUUUUCAACUUUUCGUUUCCUGGACACGGUUUGUUGGAACAUUCUCUCAUUCGUUCAGUUGUCGAUUUGUGGAUAACGAAUUGCAGUGAAUAGAAGAAACUUUUAUAUUGUUUAUAUUGAUGUUAUAUUUUAUUUCUCUUUUUCAAGAGAAGAAUUCUUGUAAUUGUAGAUAACAUUUAAAAAGUAGAAAAUAAAUGAGAUUAUAAAAAUGAAAAAAAAAAG